rnacentral:rRNA from 1 species
CCAGCAGCCGCGGUAAUUCCAGCUCCAGUAGCGUAUAUUAAAGUUGUUGCAGUUAAAAAGCUCGUAGUUGGAUUUCUGACUGCAGGCACCUGGCCCGCCGUCGUUAGACGUGUGAGUGCCGGAGUGCCUGUUUCAUCCUUUCAGACUGCAGUUCUGCCUUCACGGGUUGGAGCUGUUAUCUGAAUCUUUUACUUUGAAGAAAUUGGAGUGUUUAAAGCAGGCUUACGCCAGAACAUAUUAGCAUGGAAUAAUAAUUUAGGACUUUUGUUCUAUUUUGUUGGUUUCUAGAAUAAAAGUAAUGAUUGAUAGGGAUAGUUGGGGGUGCUAGAAUUCGGCGGCUAGAGGUGAAAUUCUUUAAUCCGCUGAAGACUAACUUAUGCGAAAGCAUUCACCAAGGAUGUCUUCUUUAAUCAAGAACGAAAGU